UUUUAAAUCAUUAUAUUUUGACAUCUGAAGUUUUUUUAAGGGUCCUGGUAAAAAUCUCUAAUCAUGUCCAUCUUCACUCACCAAAACAACACAAUCUUUCUUUUUUUUUCUAUUGUUUCCCAAAAUAUUUAUUUUUUAAAUUCCUGGUGGUACUUUUUUUGUAAAAGAAAGAUCAAGAUCAUCAAUCACCAUCACCAACAUCAUCAAAAUCAUCAAUCAAAAUCAAUAUUCCCAUUUCUUAAGGUCUUUCAUUUCAAUUCUCUUUCAUUUUUUGUAAAGAGUCCUGAAAAAUACUUGUGAUCUUCUUUAUCAUCAGUCACCAUUACUAUUCUCAUUUUAAAAAAAAAUGGUCCUUAUUUUGGUGUCACUCUCAAUUCAAUUAUUUUUCUUUAUCUUCAUUGGAACUCUCAUUCAAUAAUACUUUUUCCUCUAUUCUAUUAUGUCAACGACGCAAUCCUUCAAUUUUAUAUACCCACUGUGAUUUUUUUUAUCUUUUUAAAAUUUUCAUCAUCAAGAAUCACUUCUUCUCACACCAUUCUUCAAUUAUUUUUAUAUCAAACUACAUCAGUAAACUUAAUUGGUGAUAUCAUUGGACUAACUACUUCAUCGAUAUCAUAUGCAUGGUUGAUAUUAGAUUUUAUUUUUUAUUUUUUUCAGUUUGGCCAUAUUCAUCUCAAAGUUCAAUCUUCUACUCCCAAAUCCUCUUCAUCACAAUAUGUUGAACAAGUUGGGUGUCCAUUCAUACCCUCUAACUUAAGGGGGGAUAUUGGACUAUUGUUGUAUCUAUUCAUUGGAACGAGUUCAUUCACCUAUUUCAUCUCACUGUCUAUUAGUUUGUUGUAGUACAUAGCUUGCACUAACAUUGAUUUCAGCUGCCUCAACAUGUUGAUUUCAGUCCAAAUUUAGAAAAUUCUUAUACAUUAUUUAUUCAUUUUGUACAUUCUAGUUAAAUCUUUAGUAUAUAUCUCUAAUAUUUUGUACCUUAUUAUGAAGUGUAUCUCUUUAUUAUUUUGUAUCUUAUUUAGACUUCUACCUUAUUUAGAUUAUUUGAAUUCGGUUUAGUGUUGGGUUUUAAUUAGGUUUAUUUUGUUUCAUCACUUGUAUAAAUAGGAUAUUGCACCUCAAUUGUAUCCAUCUAAUAUUCAUUCAAUUCAAUUAUCAUUCGUUCAUUCAAUUAUUCAAUUCAG
rnacentral:lncRNA from 1 species